rnacentral:miRNA from 2 species
AAAACGGAGCGGUCCAUUAGCGCG